AAGACGAGGAUAACAGUUGGAAACGACUGCUAAGACUGGAUAGGAGACAAGAAGGCAUCUUUUUGUUUUUAAAAGACCUAGCAAUAGGUAUGCUUAGGGAGGAGCUUGCGUCACAUUAGUUAGUUGGUGGGGUAAAGGCCUACCAAGACUAUGAUGUGUAGCCGGGCUGAGAGGUUGAACGGCCACAUUGGGACUGAGACACGGCCCAAACUCCUACGGGAGGCAGCAGUAGGGAAUUUUCGGCAAUGGAGGAAACUCUGACCGAGCAACGCCGCGUGAACGAUGAAGUAUUUCGGUACGUAAAGUUCUUUUAUUAGGGCAAGAAUAAAUGAUGGAAAAAUCAUUGCUGACGGUACCUAAUGAAUAAGCCCCGGCUAACUAUGUGCCAGCAGCCGCGGUAAUACAUAGGGGGCAAGCGUUAUCCGGAAUUAUUGGGCGUAAAGGGUGCGUAGGCGGUUAAAUAAGUUUAUGGUCUAAGUGCAAUGCUCAACAUUGUGAUGCUAUAAAAACUGUUUAGCUAGAGUAAGAUAGAGGCAAGUGGAAUUCCAUGUGUAGUGGUAAAAUGCGUAAAUAUAUGGAGGAACACCAGUAGCGAAGGCGGCUUGCUGGGUCUUUACUGACGCUGAGGCACGAAAGCGUGGGGAGCAAACAGGAUUAGAUACCCUGGUAGUCCACGCCGUAAACGAUGAGUACUAAAUGUUGGGUAAAACCAGUGUUGAAGUUAACACAUUAAGUACUCCGCCUGAGUAGUACGUACGCAAGUAUGAAACUUAAAGGAAUUGACGGGACUCCGCACAAGCGGUGGAUCAUGUUGUUUAAUUCGAAGGUACCCGAAAAACCUCACCAGGUCUUGACAUGCUUCUGCAAAGCUGUAGAAACACAGUGGAGGUUAUCAGUUGCACAGGUGGUGCAUGGUUGUCGUCAGCUCGUGUCGUGAGAUGUUGGGUUAAGUCCCGCAACGAGCGCAACCCUUAUUGUUAGUUGCCAGCACGUAAUGGUGGGGACUUUAGCAAGACUGCCAGUGAUAAAUUGGAGGAAGGUGGGGACGACGUCAAAUCAUCAUGCCCCUUAUGACCUGGGCUACAAACGUGAUACAAUGGCUGUUACAAAGGGUAGCUGAAACGCAAGUUUUUGGCGAAUCUCAAAAAAACAGUCUCAGUUCGGAUUGAAGUCUGCAACUCGACUUCAUGAAGUUGGAAUCGCUAGUAAUCGCGAAUCCAGCA
rnacentral:rRNA from 1 species